rnacentral:snRNA from 1 species
GGGUGUGAGGGCGACCUGGGUGCGACAUCAGUCACCCCUCUGGUCAUAGGCGGGUGCUCCUUCCUCCCUCGUGGCUCCACGUGUGUCCCUCUGGAAGCUGCACCUCAGUCGAAGAGGACGGCCUUCCCCCAGUCGAGACUAAUAUUUCUUAGAUAAUGCAGAAUGCAUAGUUAUUAAAUUGAUAGACUUGUUUUGUAAGUUUAUUUUUAUUU